UACAGAGGGUGCGAGCGUUAAUCGGAUUUACUGGGCGUAAAGCGUGAGUAGGUGGCUCGCUAAGUCGAUUGUGAAAGCCCUGGGCUCAACCUGGGAAUUGCAGUCGAUACUGGUGAGCUAGAGUUCGGUAGAGGGUGACGGAAUUCCCGGUGUAGCGGUGAAAUGCGUAGAUAUCGGGAGGAACAUCGAUGGCGAAGGCAAUCACCUGGGCCUGAACUGACACUGAGACACGAAAGCGUGGGUAGCAAACAGG
rnacentral:rRNA from 1 species